rnacentral:rRNA from 1 species
UUUCGAAUAAUCCACAAUGGGCGCAAGCCUGAUGGUGCAAUGCCGCGUGGGGGAUGAAGGCCCUAGGGUCGUAAACCCCUGUCACCAAGGAACAAUAAGGUAGUUCAUAGCUAUCGAUGAGUUAACUUGGAGAGGAAGCAGUGGCUAACUCCGUGCCAGCAGCCGCGGUAAUACGGAGACUGCGAGCGUUACUCGGAUUCACUGGGCGUAAAGGGUGCGUAGGUUGUAAGGUAUGUCAGGUGUGAAAUCCCGGGGCUCAACUCCGGAACUGCGCCUGAAACUACCUUACUUGAGUAUAGUAGGGGAUAGCAGAAUUUCUGGUGUAGCGGUGAAAUGCGUAGAUAUCAGAAGGAAUACCAAUGGCGAAGGCAGCUAUCUGGGCUAAUACUGACACUGAGGCACGAAAGCGUGGGGAGCGAAAGGGAUUAGAUACCCCCGUAGUCC